GGGCCCGCACGACGGGCUAUUAGCUCAGCGGUAGAGCUGAUUUACUUCACGGGCGAGGUCUCUGGUUCAAGU
rnacentral:tRNA from 2 species